AAUACAGUUUGCUUUUGAUAAUUAUUGCUGGUGGAUUCUAAGUUCUAACUCGAGACUAAAUUCACGUAUUCCCCACUUGGAAGAUGGAAAGAUGGGAUGCUCCAUGGAGUCCGCCGGCUUCCACCGUCUGUUAAUCACAAUCCUACUACCAACAACUCUUUCCUGUUUUAGUAGCUCUGUCCUUUUGAAGACCCCAGCAAAGACAAAGAGGAAAACUCAUGGUGAAACCUCAUCUUUCAUUGAUAUACUAAUUAUGGACUCCCCAUAAAUUUCAAAUGUUAAUCAAAGUAAAUAAGACCACCCGUCCAUCGUGCAGGAUCCAAGUUCUAAGGUACGUACAGAUUAUUCCUAUUGCCUGCCAAAGAAAUUGUUCUUUCUCUAUUUAUCAUCUCCUUAUAAUAGUUCUUUUGAUCUUCCCUGUCUUUUUUCACUACAAAAAGUCGUGCAUCUUCCCCAUCUUUUUUUUGUUCCAACCAACCUCCAAGUCCAUAGUUUUCGUCAACAUGAUAUACUUUUAUUGGAUCCGUGUGCCUAAGGAAUGGUAAGCCUGGAGGAUGUUGUUGAGGCAUGACUUGGUCAGAGAGUCUGCCGGAGCUAAGAAGCAGAGGUACUUCUUACCAAGCUAAACCUGUGAAGGAUGUCACCUCCACCGUCUGGCACCACGCCGUCGUCUCCACCCAGGAGUCCAGGCAGUUUCACUUGCAAGCACACGCUGCUGAGCCCUGUGACGUCGCUGGACCUUCCGGGCUCCCCUGCCCAGCCGGCAAAAAAGAUCAGGCGCCCUGGCGUUGCACCCGCUGGAAUAUGGAAGAUGAAGAUCUCGCAACUGACAGAGCAGACCAAGCAAGACAAUCUCGCUGUCCUGGAGAUCCCAGCCUGAGCAGGUCGAGUCGGCUGCUCUGUAAUAGGUGUGGCUGACAAAGACGGGGGGCGAUUUGUGCAUGCGAAAGUCCCUUAAAAUCGAGACAAAUCCUUCGUUGGAACCAUCUCGAUGUUCUUCGC